UGGGGAAUUUUGGACAAUGGGCGCAAGCCUGAUCCAGCCAUGCCGCGUGCGGGAAGAAGGCCUUCGGGUUGUAAACCGCUUUUGUCAGGGAAGAAAUCUUCUGAGUUAAUACCUCGGGAGGAUGACGGUACCUGAAGAAUAAGCACCGGCUAACUACGUGCCAGCAGCCGCGGUAAUACGUAGGGUGCAAGCGUUAAUCGGAAUUACUGGGCGUAAAGCGUGCGCAGGCGGUUUUGUAAGACAGAGGUGAAAUCCCCGGGCUCAACCUGGGAACUGCCUUUGUGACUGCAAGGCUUGAGUGCGGCAGAGGGGGGCAUGGAAUUCCGCGUGUAGCAGUGAAAUUGCGUAGAUAUGCGGAGGAACACCGAUGGCGAAGGCCAAUCCCCUGGGCCUGCACUGACGCUCAUGCACGAAAGCGUGGGGGAGCAAAACCA
rnacentral:rRNA from 1 species